CCAGCCUCCGGGUUGUCUAUGGUCCUCCUCAAAGUAACAAGGACCCAAGCAGGUUCACAGCGCGGCAGAGGUUUCGUCCCUGGAGUAUUUGAGCUGCAUACACUGGGUACCUGCAGAGGCAGAAGAAAGCAUCAGAUCUGGAGCUGGAGUGCCAGAAGUUGUGAGCCAUCCAACAAGGGUGCUGGAGAGACUGGCUAUCCUGGCUGCCCCAGAGCUUACUGAGAUUCACCAGCCUCUGCUACUCAAGCGCUGGGAUUAAAGUCAUGGCACCAAAUCAGUUUUUUAUGUUCCAGCCGCAUCAACCCCAGACCCACAAAACCAACUGGAUGGAAAGAGAUUCCUCUCCCUUAUGCCCCUUCAGCAGAAGAGGAACAACUGAAGGGGUUAAACUCUCACUUGUUCAACUGAAUUUAAGUUUCAGUUCUCUGAGGGGCGGACAGCUGUCUCUCCCAACAAAAGGCCAUUUAUCAACAAAUUACAUUCAGGGUCAAGGGAGAGAAGAGAACAUGAAAGAAGCCUGAAGUCAGGCCCACAGUGUCUCAAGGACAAGUCCUACAGCCCCCCUUCUGGAUCACAUUGGGACUUGCCCAAGCUUGUACAAAUAUGCCCAAAAAUAAAACCUCAGCCAAUUAAAAGUAUAUUAAUAACCAAUGCUUGCUUAACCGAUUAUGUUUGAGAUGAUCUCACUGUCCCUAAAAUUCCCUUUAGCUAUGUUUAAAAAGAGCCUACAAGCUCCUCUCAGGCUCAUCACCAUUUUGUACA